rnacentral:lncRNA from 1 species
CGGAUCUCUGGGCCGGGUCUUUGUAGCUGACGUAGCGGAGAACGACGUCGCCGUAGAGAUGGACCUCGGCGAUGGUGACGCGGUUGUCGAGGAGGAUCGGCGGUGACGCGGGCUUGGCGCCGUGGGAGACGCUGGCGUGGAAGGCGAGGUCGGCGUCGGCGACUUGGAUGGCGACGGCGCGGACGGCGAGGCCGUGUUUGGCGGAGAAGGCGCGGGAGGCGGAGUGGUCGAAGCUGGGGAUGGAGGCGGAGGAGGUGGGCCCAGAGAGAGAAGGGGAGUAAGGGGCGGAGAAGAGGAAGGAGAGGUCGGCGGAGCGGAGGAGGUAGGAGGCGUGGGAGUGGUUGCCGGUGGAGAGGUCAGACUUGGCGACCAAGGGCAUGCCGAGGCCCCAGGAGAAGCGGAGGGCGGUGUUGGUGGCGUCGGUGCACCAGAACUCGAUGUGGUGGAAGCGGGUGACGGCGAACCGGUCGGAGCGGGGGUUGGAGCGGACGAAGUUGGAGAAUCCGACGAGGUUGAACUGGGUCGUCUCGGUUUGGUGGCCCAUUGUGGUGUGCUGACUGUGGUGAGGUCCGUGAGGAGGGUAUACUGGUAUGGUACCUAUAGUAGUAGUGACUGAGAGGGUGGACUUUUGGAGGGAAGCGGUGGGGACACGUAGACGUGGAUUGGGGUUUUAUCUUGUGUGGGGACACGUGGCGGGGUAUGGGUGGAGGGGGAGGAGGGGUUUUGAGUGACGCAACUCCAUACCGGCUAGGGGAUCAUGGAGGAGGAAAAACUGAAGUUUGGGACUUGUGUGUGUUUGGGGUUUUCCUGAGAGGGAAAGGAUAGAAUACGGGGAGAACGAAUGCGAUGGUUUUCUAUUGAGACGUGUGG